AUUAAAGGUCUUAGAUUCAUGCUUCUUCAUGUUCACUUGAAUUCCAUGAUCAUGUUGUUCUCCGGAGCCAGUCCAACGCACGCCCUCAUAAUAUUCUCCAGCAUAGCCCGCUGCUUCGACAGUGCGUUAAUCACCGGAGUUCCCGG
rnacentral:sRNA from 1 species